UUUCUUCGGAGAGUUUGAUCCUGGCUCAGGAUGAACGCUGGCGGCGUGCCUAAUACAUGCAAGUCGAGCGAACUGAUUAGAAGCUUGCUUCUAUGACGUUAGCGGCGGACGGGUGAGUAACACGUGGGCAACCUGCCUGUAAGACUGGGAUAACUCCGGGAAACCGGAGCUAAUACCGGAUAA
rnacentral:rRNA from 1 species